UGUCAACCAUGCCAUCUUGUAAGUUAUUCGCCAAAUAAACCGUCUAAAUAUGCUCUAAAAAGACCAUUUAAAAAUUUUCACGAUCUGAGUAAAUCUGGGAGCAUACUGGGGCUAAGAAAGUCCUAAAGUUGAAAGCGAUAGAAAUAAUCCUCUUAAUUGAGCAAUAAAAUGCUUCUUUAUUGUUUAAAUUGUUUUAAAAGGAAGGUUCAUAGUUGAGCUUGACAGUCAUCUCUGCCUUCUUAGGAGAAACAUAGCCUAUAAAAUCAUUUAAAACCGCAGACCACCGACUUGGACUCAGGACUGGGGUUUUCUGGUUUCGCCCUGACUCACAAAGGUCCCCAGCGACGCGCCGUCUGCAGAUGGCAGCCUCCGGCGGGAAGUCCACAACUCCACUUCCUGCCUGGGGGAGGCACUUCGGGCCCUCGCCGGGAAUUCAGAAACCUGUUUGAGCCGUUUCUGUAGGGCUGAACCUUGUUAUUUAGUAAAUAUUUAUUUAGCUCUCUGAGGACUCAGAACUAAUCACUGUCACUUCUCUUUAAUAAUAAAUGGUGAACUUCAAACGCGGCAGAACUCCACCGACUAAUCAGUGCUCUCCGGGAGGUGCAAAACUGCAAUCCGCCAGCGGACAUGAAAGACUGAACAUUUCCUGUUCCCACUCGCGGUGGCCCAGAAUAAACUUAAACCAAGUGAGAGAUGUUGAUGGCGGCCGCCCCCACCGCGCGCCGACCCUGGGAGCCAGGAAUCCAUCUGCCCGCGGCCGAGCGCGCCGCCCCUUCCCCUUUCGCCCCAGGGACCCUCAAAGCCCGCUGCUCUGCUGCUCCACAAUCUGGGCUGCUGCUUCCUUGGGCUUUUAAGGUUGUCUUUUAAAUUCGCUAUUCAGGUGCAAACCAAUUAGCCCUUUCCUUGUUCCCGAGCGAGCGGUGGAGAGCGCCCGGCGCCCCCUCGCCGACGGAAACUCGCGGGCUCCGCGCAGUGGGCUCCUUCCUCGCCGCCGCUCGCUGGCUGUCAAAGAGGUCAGCGCGCCGGGUGGCAUUGACGCCAGCCUUCCAGAAUUUGGUUCUCAAAGUCUUUUUUUAUUUACUAGGAAAGGUGUGAAAAAAGAUUGGAAGCACUUGGGCUCACUGAAAGAACGAAGAGGGUGUUUUCAGUGAUGAGCUUGGAGUGCCCCUCUGUGGAAUAACGUGAGCACUACAGCUUCUUUCUCACAGAUGGAUCAGAAGGAACCCCACCGGGCAAAGCAGCCUUUGCAGUGUAUGUGGCCUUGGGGAUGAGAGAAUGGAGGAAGAAAAGGCUGAUUAUCCAGGGAGAAUGUUCAAGGAGGUAAUUAAACAAAGAGGAGGGUCUGCAGUAAAUAUCACAAAUCCGAAUUCAAAUCCAGGCUUAAAGAACCUGUAAAUGAAUUCCAGCAAAGCCAAAACUUCAUGGGCCUCUGAGAGGAGAGCUGGCUUUUAACAUGCUCACUGAGCCAUGGGGAAAGACCAGCUCCAAGGUGAAAUGCCCUGGCUGGCAAACUUUUCCAGGAUCACACAGGAACCUCAUUAUAAAUGAAAAUCUAAAUCAGUAGACUUUGGAGAACAGGGGACAGAGACUAUGAAUCUGCGCUUUUAACAAACACCCCAAGGGAUUCUGAUGCAGGUUUUCCAUGGGCCACCUUUUAUGAAGCACUGAAAUAAGUUAUAGCAAUGCUCAGGCUACUAGGCCACUAUUGGAAACAUAGUUCUCUGAGGUUUAAAUGAUAUGUAUAUGCAUUAAUGAUUUGAAUGAGCAUACUAGUUAUUGUAUGCUAUGUAUUUUUCCCAUUAAAAGAGAUAUCUAAAAGUCA